AAAAGUCGUAACAAGGUCUCCGUUGGUGAACCAGCGGAGGGAUCAUUACCGAGUUUACAACUCCCAAACCCCUGUGAACAUACCUAUGUUGCUUCGGCGGGAUCGCCCCGGCGCCCUCGGGCCCGGACCCAGGCGCCCGCCGGAGGACCCAAACUCUUGUCUUCAUGAGAAUCUUCUGAGUGAUACAAGCAAAUAAAUUAAAACUUUCAACAACGGAUCUCUUGGUUCUGG
rnacentral:misc_RNA from 1 species